UAGAUGUUGGAGCUUGUGAAGUCACAAGAGUCUUUAUCGACACUGGUAGCUCAGUCGCCACAUAUUCAAGGAUACACUUGAAAAGAUGGGAGUCGGUCUCCAAGAUAUGAAAACCUUCAACUCGUUCAUUAAACGGUUUCAACUCAGUAUAGUACUCACAUCGUCCUGAUGAACAUAUGCAUUGAGUAAAUCCAGGUUCCAAGACAGAUCAACUGGAUUAAUGAGAUCCUCCACCUUAAGUAAUGGAUUCAAAAAUUGAUUAGAAAAUUUUAGGGUUGCUGACCUCGGGCGAGGAGCGGGGUCCAAGGAUCAUUCCAGACUGAAAUGCUUGAACCUAUUCUCACUCUUUUGAUUAGCCCUUUAUUAACCAGAGAUCUAUUGGAUGUUAUACUUCUCCAUCCAUACGAGAGAGAGUAUGAUCUGAUAGGAUCCAAAGGAUCUGAAUUUCGAUAGUAUCGUCCUUUGAAAACUCUUGCAAAAAGCGAAUUAGGUUUAUCAAUUAAAUGCCAUAGCUGUUUCGCUAAUAAAGCCGUAUUAAAAUUCUGAAUAUCUCUAAAACCUAUGCCCCCUUCAGCUUUAUCCUUACACAACUUGUCCCACGAAAACCAAUGCUUACCUUUUGAAUUACCGCUGCCACCCCACCAAAAAUGAGCAACUGUACCCGUAAGUUUCUUAGUCACUGUUCACGGUAAACGGAAGCAAGACAUCACAUGAGUUGGCAUGGGAGAUGCUACUGAUUUGAUUAAAACCUCCUUACCACCCUUUGUAAUCAAUCAGAGAGUCCAAUGAUUAACUUUAUUAUUAACCCUUUCAUUAAGAAAACCAAAAACCUGUGUUUUAGAGCCACCAAAACUCUCUGAGAUCUCCAAAUAUGUUCUCAUACCACCUAGUGUAGUGAUACCCAAUACCUAUUGUAUCUCCAACUUUCUUCAGUCUUUUCUAUAUAGUAUCUUCUGUACCAGACAUAGUUAUGUACGAAAGCAUUAAAUGAAAGGGUGUACUCUAUUUUAGCACCACUACCCCAACUGUCAUUAUCUUUAUCUUCUCGUUUACCAAUAUCAAAAUUUUGGACAUGUAACGAGCACGAAUUUCUUACAACUAUCAAAAUUUUACAUGGACUAUUUUAAAUUGAUAUUAUUUCCUAUGGGCGUGUAAUCAAAUCAUCAAAAUAAAUACAUUAUAAAUCUUACAUUUUAUUUUCAAUUUAAAAUGUUUGACCAACAAAAAAAAAUCAAUUUAAACUAAAUUAUUUUUCUUUGUUUGUUUCAUUUGAAAUCAUAUAUUUGUUUAACCUUUAAAAAUGUGUUAAAUGUAAUGUUUCACUGUAUUGUAAUUGUUAAUUGUCAUUGUUAGUUCUGCUUUGACUUUGACAAUAAGUGGAAUGCAUUUUAAUACUUUUUAGGACUUUGGCAAUCUAUAUCUAUACUAUACUAAAAGGAGAAUAAGAUCACCAUUUAGCCUGUCCACGUAGGAUCAGAAAUUCAAGCCAAUCAAAUUGUCUUAAGAUGCCAUGUCAGAUUAGUAAAAAAAAACAAAUACGAUGGCUAAUCCUUCUUUUCUCCUGCGCCUUUCCAAUGUCUCUAUCCAGCUUCUCAGUUCGAAGUUUUCUCCAUUAAUUUGUCCAACUUUCUGUAAACAAGUGGAUCUCUUAAAAAUAUCCCUCAUUCUAGAUUGAGGUGUAACCUGAGCUCCAAAAAGAGUUGUUUCAUCUUCUUCCUUAUCCAUCCGCAGAGAUACCGGUUACAGAUUAACCCUCUUCAAUUAUUUCUUAAAUACAUACACCAUGAUCUCUUACUCCACUGUUCUUGAAGGCCUGCCGUUGUAACUUCCUAAAAGAUGAAGAUUUCAUUAGCCAACCUCAAUUAGGGUUAUCUCCUAAAUAUCUUCAAUCCUUAUGAUGACUCAUGCAGACAAAAUUGAUUAGGCAUUCCAAAGGUGAGGAAAUCUAAACCUGAUUUCAUACUCCCGUGCUAACAACAACAUUGAUCCCUCCAAGGAGAGUUAGGUCCUUCAAGCUUUAU